rnacentral:rRNA from 1 species
GAUGAACGCUAGCGGGAGGCCUAACACAUGCAAGCCGAGCGGUAUUGUUUCUUCGGCACUGCGAGAGCGGCGUACGGGUGCGUAACACGUGUGCAACCUGCCUUUAUCUGGGGGAUAGCCUUUCGAAAGGAAGAUUAAUACUCCAUAAUAUAUUGAACGGCAUCGUUUAAUAUUGAAAGCUCCGGCGGAUAGAGAUGGGCACGCGCAAGAUUAGCUAGUUGGUGAGGUAACGGCUCACCAAGGCGAUGAUCUUUAGGGGGCCUGAGAGGGUGAUCCCCCACACUGGUACUGAGACACGGACCAGACUCCUACGGGAGGCAGCAGUGAGGAAUAUUGGUCAAUGGGUGCAAGCCUGAACCAGCCAUCCCGCGUGAAGGACGACUGCCCUAUGGGUUGUAAACUUCUUUUGUAUAGGGAUAAACCUACCCUCGAGAGGGUAGCUGAAGGUACUAUACGAAUAAGCACCGGCUAACUCCGUG